rnacentral:rRNA from 1 species
GACGAACGCUGGCGGCGUGCUUAACACAUGCAAGUCGAACGGGCCUUGUCCCCUUUUUUUUUUGGGGGUGGGGUUAGUGGCGAACGGGUGAGUAACACGUGAGUAACCUGCCCCUCACUUCUGGAUAACCGCUUGAAAGGGUGGCUAAUACGGGGUGUUCUGGCCUGCUCGCAUGGGUGGGUUUGGAAAGAUUCGACCGGUUUUGGUUGUUUUGGUGGGGGAUGGGCUCGCGGCCUAUCAGCUUGUUGGUGGGGUGAUGGCCUGCCAAGGCUUUGACGGGGAGCCGGCCUGAGAGGGUGGGCGGUCACACUGGGACUGAGACACGGCCCAGACUCCUACGGGAGGCAGCAGUGGGGAAUAUUGCACAAUGGGCGCAAGCCUGAUGCAGCGACGCCGCGUGAGGGAUGGAGGCCUUCGGGUUGUGAACCUCUUUCGCCAGUGAAGAAGGUCCUGCUCUUUGUGGUGGGGUUGACGGUAGCUGGGUUAAUGAAGCGCCGGCUAACUACGUG